GCGGCAGGGCACGGCGGUGCGGCGCAACGCAACGCAGUCUCCUCCCCAGGCGCUCUUGUGCCCGAGCAGAGCUCCCUCGAUAGAGGAACGGAACAGCGUAAAACGAGACGCAGGAGCGCAGGUCAAGCGCGGACAGACAAUGUGACUAGGGGAAAAACCCUCGAGUUGUGAUGACAGCAGGCGCACACAGAAUGUUAGGAAUUGGAAGGGACCUUGAAAGAACAUCCAGUCCAAUCUACCUGCCAAAGCAGGGUCACCUAGAGUAGGUCACACAGGAAUGCAUCCAGGGAAGAGCUACAUGUGACAGCAGCUGCCAUUUUUUGAGGACAUGUUCCAUCCUGCCAGAUGUCUUUUUCACAUAGCAGUAUAUUUGCUUCAUCACCACGACAACGUACUUCACUCCAGUAAACAGGAAUAAGGCCGAGUCCAGAAAAUGAAUUCCCAAUGACAACAGUGGAAGAAUUCAUUCAUGUACACAGAGCAAAAGAUAGCACAAGAGAUAACUUCUGCACAUCAGCAACUCUCUUCCCAACAAUUGGAAUAUUGACAGCUGUGUAUAGAAACACCUCUGUUUUAUGAAGGAUAGUAGCUUUCAUAACUGACCUGUGUAUAUCUCACAAGAAAAUACAACAAAGAACCAGCUUCUGUCAUACAGAAGAGAAAACACACCAGAAAAUCACUAAAGUAAAGUGUCAAUCCUCUGCUGAAAGUACUUAUCAGACCUUCACUGCCUCAACAGUAAGCUCACCAUCAUGAAACAUGAGGGAUCCUGCUCAUGGCUCCCAUGCCAUGCCUCAGCACAGGUGUUCCAACAUGAGACAGUAACACAAAAAGGCCCUGCACCAAUAUAAUGGAUCACAGUUGCCUUGGAGGCAGUUAGCACAACUUGAGACUGUGUCCCCUUGUUCUGUUGCUGGUUGCCUGGGAGAAGAGGCCACCCCCCACCUGGCUACAGUGUCCAUUAAGAUGACAUUGCAGUGGGAUGACUGGCUCCAGAUUCUGAGUCUGCAAUGCCAUGUGGCUGUGUGGGGAGUGAGACUCAAGUGUGAGAGCAGCAGUACCCCAGCAUGACUAAGUACAACAGAAGAGCUGCUUUAGUUCCUGAUGCUGAGAAUAGGAAGUCGAUGCUGCAUCAUGCACGUUACAGUCUGUGAGCUAGGUGAAAGCUGGCCACCUUAUCUCAGAAGGGGUAGAUGAUGGACCCUCGCUAACGAGAAUAACAAGGUGUGUAUGUAUGCAGAUGUGGCGGGUUGUCCCUGACUAACUACACUAAUGUGUAGGCGUGUGCUCUGCUGGCUGAGUGUAUAUACUCGAGCUGUUAUCAUCAAUAAAAGGGGCUUCUGCAUAA